AGGAUUCCUCGUUAGGUGAGGCUCCUAUAUGGAGAUACGCUACUGCCCAGAAAUGUCGAAAGACACCAAUGGGUCAACAGGAACUAUCGAGCUAAGGUAGUUUUUAAUGUAGCUGGAUGAUAUCAUCCUAUGCCAUAUAGUGCUAAAGCUCUACGAAGAGGGUUUAU
rnacentral:sRNA from 2 species